rnacentral:rRNA from 1 species
ACAUGAAGCUGGAAUCGCUAGUAAUCGCAAAUCAGAAUGUUGCGGUGAAUACGUUCCCGGGCCUUGUACACACCGCCCGUCACACCAUGGGAGUUGGAAGCGCCCGAAGUCGAUGACCCAACCGCAAGGAGGGAGUCGCCGAAGGUGAAGCCAGUGACUGGGGGUGAAGUCGUAACAAGGUACC